UACGUAGGGUGCAAGCGUUAAUCGGAAUUAUUGGGCGUAAAGCGCGCGCAGGUGGUUCCUUAAGUCUGAUGUGAAAGCCCACGGCUCAACCGUGGAGGGUCAUUGGAAACUGGGGAACUUGAGUGCAGAAGAGGAAAGUGGAAUUCCAAGUGUAGCGGUGAAAUGCGUAGAGAUUUGGAGGAACACCGGUGGCGAAGGCGGCAUCCUGGACCAAUUCUGGACGCUG
rnacentral:rRNA from 1 species